rnacentral:rRNA from 1 species
GUACACGCUGUGACUAGCAUAUCAAUAAGCGGAGGAAAAGAAACUAACAAGGAUUCCCCUAGUAACGGCGAGUGAAGCGGGAAGAGCUCAAAUUUGAAAUCUUAAAGGGUUUCCCUUUACGAAUUGUAGUUUAAAGAAGUGUUUUCUGUUGAGGUUUUGGUAAAAGUUCUUUGGAAUAGGACAUCAUAGAGGGUGAGAAUCCCGUAUUUGACCUUUACUUUCAACUUUGUGAUACACUUUCAAAGAGUCGGAUUGUUUGGGAAUGCAGUCCAAAAUGGGUGGUAAAUUUCAUCUAAAGCUAAAUAUUGGCGAGAGACCGAUAGCGAACAAGUACCGUGAGGGAAAGAUGAAAAGAACUUUGAAAAGAGAGUUAAACAGUACGUGAAAUUGUCAAAAGGGAAGCGUUUGACACCAGUGUUGUUUUUCUGAAAAUCAAUUAAAGAACUGUUUAUGCUAAGUUGUUUAGACUUUAUCAGCUAAUCUGUUUAGUUUUGAGCUUUUCUUUAAUGCACUUUUCAGUUAACAAGUCAACAUCAAUUUCUUUUGCUGUAAAAAAGCUUGAGGAAGGUGGCUUGAGAUUCGUCUUAAGUGUUUAUAGCCUCUUGCCUAUGCAGUCGGAGAGAUUGAGGUCUGCAGCGUAGAUCCUUCGGGGCUAAAUGCAUUUGUGCUAAGUUAUAGCAUUUCAUAGACAACUUGUUGACUAUGAUUUGUCUUGUAGCUUACUCGCUUAUGUUAUUUUACCUACGCUUAGGAUGUUGACGCGCGUGUGUGCGUG